rnacentral:rRNA from 1 species
GACGGAGGAUGCAAGCGUUAUCCGGAAUUAUUGGGCGUAAAGCGUCCGCAGGCGGCUGUUCAAGUCUGCUGUCAAAGCGCAGAGCUUAACUCUGUACAGGCGGUGGAAACUGAAGAGCUAGAGUAUGGGAGGGGGAGAGGGAAUUCCCGGUGUAGCGGUGAAAUGCGUAGAUAUCGGGAAGAACACCAGUGGCGAAAGCGCUCUACUGGGCCAUAACUGACACUGAGGGACGAAAGCUAGGGGAGCGAAAGGG